AGUGGAUGGGGAGCAACCUAGUUGUGCGUGUGUAAAGGUAGUGCCAAGAAAAGCGAUGAUCAUGUUGAAAAUCAAUUCCCGGUACCCGAAACCGACACAGGUGGGCAAGUAGAGAAUACUAAGGGGCGCGAGGUAACUCUCUCCAAGGAACUCGGCAAAAUGACCCCGUAACUUAGGGAGAAGGGGUGCCACCGAGAGGUGGUCGCAGUGAAGAGGCCCAGGCGACUGUUUAGCAAAAACAUAGGUCUCUGCAAACUCGAAAGAGGAGGUAUAGGGGCUGACGCCUGCCCAGUGCCGGAAGGUUAAAGAAGUUGGUCAGUCUUAGGAUGAAGCUAGCGACUGAAGCCCCGGUGAACGGCGGCCGUAACUAUAACGGUCCUAAGGUAGCGAAAUUCCUUGUCGGGUAAGUUCCGACCCGCACGAAAGGCGUAACGAUCUGGGCGCUGUCUCGGAGAGAGGCUCGGCGAAAUAGGAUUGUCUGUGAAGAUACGGACUACCUGCAUUUGGACAGAAAGACCCUAUGAAGCUUUACUAUAGCUUGGAAUUGUGUUCGGGCUUCCUGUGCGCAGGAUAGGUGGGAGGCGUAGAAGGUAUUCUUGUGGGGAUACUGGAGCCAACGGUGAGAUACCACUCUCAGGAGGCUAGAAUUCUAACUUAAUUAAGGACAGUUUCAGGUGGGUAGUUUGACUGGGGCGGUCGCCUCCAAAAAGGUAACGGAGGCGUACAAAGGUUCCCUCAGACUGGUUGGAAAUCAGUCGAAGAGUGCAAAGGCAGAAGGGAGCUUGACUGCGAGAAGUACAGUUCGAGCAGGGUGGAAACACGGUCUUAGUGAUCCGACGGUGCUGUGUGGAAGGGCCGUCGCUCAACGGAUAAAAGUUACUCUAGGAUAACAGGCUGAUCUCCCCCAAGAGUUCACAUCGACGGGGAGGUUUGGCACCUCGAUGUCGGCUCAUCGCAACCUGGGGCGGAAGUACGUCCCAAGGGUUGGGCUGUUCGCCCAUUAGAGCGGUACGUGAGCUGGGUUCAGAACGCCGUGAGACAGUUCGGUCCAUAUCCGAUGUAGGCGUGAGAAUAUUGAGAGGAGCCUUCCUUAGUACGAGAGGACCGGGAAGGACGCACCGCUGGUGUACCUGUUAUGAUGCCAAUUGUAAACGCAGGGUAGCCAAGUGCGGAGAGGAUAACCGCUGAAAGCAUCUAAGUGGGAAGCCCACCUCAAGAUGAGUAUUCUGGUGUAAGGUCACGGGAAGACGACCCGUAAAUAGGCACGAGGUGGAAGUGCAGAGAUGUAUGAAGCCGAAGUGUACUAAUAGACCGUCGGCUUGACC
rnacentral:rRNA from 1 species